CCUACGGGUGGCAGCAGUGGGGAAUAUUUGACAAUGGGCGAAAGCCUGAUCCAGCCAUGCCGCGUGUGUGAAGAAGGCCUUCGGGUUGUAAAGCACUUUCAGUGGGGAAGAAAGCCUUGGGGCUAAUACCCUCGAGGAAGGACAUCACCCACAGAAGAAGCACCGGCUAACUCCGUGCCAGCAGCCGCGGUAAUACGGAGGGUGCGAGCGUUAAUCGGAAUUACUGGGCGUAAAGCGCGCGUAGGCGGUCUGAUAAGCCGGUUGUGAAAGCCCCGGGCUCAACCUGGGAACGGCAUCCGGAACUGUCAGGCUAGAGUGCAGGAGAGGAAGGUAGAAUUCCCGGUGUAGCGGUGAAAUGCGUAGAGAUCGGGAGGAAUACCAGUGGCGAAGGCGGCCUUCUGGACUGACACUGACGCUGAGGUGCGAAAGCGUGGGUAGCAAACAGGAUUAGAUACCCUAGUAGUC
rnacentral:rRNA from 1 species